CCAGCAGCUGCGGUAAUUCCAGCUCCAAUAGCGUAUAUUUAAGUUGCUGCAGUUAAAAAGCUCGUAGUUGGAUUUCGGGUGGGCCCUGCCGGUCCGCCGUUUCGGUGUGCACUUGCAGGUCCCACCUUGUUGCCGGGGACGUGUUCCUGGGCUUCACUGUCCGGGACACGGAGUCGGCGAGGUUACUUUGAGUAAAUUAGAGUGUUCAAAGCAGGCGAUCGCCAUGAAUACAUUAGCAUGGAAUAGCACGAUAGGACUCUGGCCUAUUCUGCUGGUCUGUAGGACCGGAGUAAUGAUUAAGAGGGACAGUCGGGGGCAUUCGUAUUUCAUUGUCAGAGGUGAAAUUCUUGGAUUUAUGAAAGACGAACUUCUGCGAAAGCAUUUGCCAAGGAUGUUUUCAUUGAUCAAGAACGAAAGU
rnacentral:rRNA from 1 species